GACGAACGCUGGCGGCGUGCUUAACACAUGCAAGUCGAACGGGCCCGCCCCUGUUUUUGGGGGUGGGUUGAGUGGCGAACGGGUGAGUAUCACGUGAGUAACCUGCCCCCUGCUCCUGGAUAACUGCUUGAAAGGGCGGCUAAUACGGGGUGUGCCGGCUGGUCCGCAUGGGCCUGGUCGGGAUAGUUUCAUCUUCGGGUGUUUCGGUGGGGGAUGGGCUCGCGGCCUAUCAGCUUGUUGGUGGGGUGAUGGCCCACCAAGGCGGUGACGGGUAGCCGGCCUGAGAGGGUGGGCGGCCACACUGGGACUGAGACACGGCCCAGACGCCGGCGGGAGGCAGCAGUGGGGGGGAUUGCACAAUGGGCGGAAGCCUGAUGCAGCGACGUCGCGUGAGGGAUGGAGGCCGUCGGGUGGUGAACCUCUUUCUCCGGGGGGGAAGGCCCUGUCCGUUGCGGCGGGGUUGACGGUAGCCGGGUAUGAAGCGCCGGCUAACUACGUG
rnacentral:rRNA from 1 species